rnacentral:rRNA from 1 species
UACGAAGGGGGCGAGCGUUGUUCGGAAUUACUGGGCGUAAAGGGCGCGUAGGCGGCGCGAGAAGUCAGGCGUGAAAGCCCCGGGCUCAACCUGGGAGGUGCGCUUGGGACUCUUGUGCUUGAGUUCGGGAGAGGAGCGUGGAAUUCCCAGUGUAGAGGUGAAAUUCGUAGAUAUUGGGAAGAACACCGGUGGCGAAGGCGGCGCUCUGGACCGAGACUGACGCUGAGGCGCGAAAGCGUGGGGAGCAAACAGG